UACAGAGGGUGCGAGCGUUAAUCGGAAUUACUGGGCGUAAAGCGUGCGUAGACGGUAGCGUAAGUCAGAUGUGAAAGCCCCGGGCUCAACCUGGGAAUUGCAUUUGAGACUGCUCUGCUCGGGUGCGGAAGAGGGAAGCGGAAUUUCCGGUGUAGCGGUGAAAUGCGUAGAUAUCGGAAGGAACACCAGUGGCGAAAGCGGCUUCCUGGUCCGAUACCGACGUUCAGGCACGAAAGCGUGGGAGCAAACAGG
rnacentral:rRNA from 1 species